CCUACGGGAGGCAGCAGUAGGGAAUAUUGCUCAAUGGGGGAAACCCUGAAGCAGCAACGCCGCGUGGAGGAUGAAGGUUUUCGGGUUGUUAACUCCUUUUGUUCGAGAAGCUAAUGACGGUACCUAACGAAUAAGCACAGGCUAACUACGGGCCAGCAGCCGCGGUAAUACGGCGGGUGCAAACGUUACUCGGAAUCACUGGGCGUAAACAGCGCGUAAGCGGGAUAGCAAGGCAGAUGUGAAAACCUAUGGGUUAAACAUAGAAGAGCAGUUGAAACUGGUAUUCUAGAGUAAGGGAGAGGUAGGUGGAAUGCGUGGUGUAGCGGUAAAAUGCGUAGAUAUCAAGAGGAAUACUGAUUGCGAAGGCGGCCUGCUAGAGCAUAACUGACGCUGAUGCGCGAAAGCGUGGGGAGCAAACAGGAUUAGAUACCCGAGUAGUC
rnacentral:rRNA from 1 species